AACGAACGCUGGCGGCAUGCCUAACACAUGCCAGUCGAACGAGACCUUCGGGUCUAGUGGCGCACGGGUGCGUAACGCGUGGGAACCUGCCCUUAGGUUCGGAAUAACUCCCCGAAAGGGGUGCUAAUACCGGAUAAUGUCUUCGGACCAAAGAUUUAUCGCCUUUGGAUGGGCCCGCGUUGGAUUAGCUAGUUGGUAGGGUAAAAGCCUACCAAGGCGACGAUCCAUAGCUGGUCUGAGAGGAUGAUCAGCCACACUGGGACUGAGACACGGCCCAGACUCCUCCGGGAGGAAGCAGGGGGGAAUAUUGGACAAGGGGCGAAAGCCUGAACCCGCAAUGCCGGGUGAGUGAUGAAGGCCUUAGGGUUGUAAAGCUCUUUUACCCGGGAUGAAAAGGACAGUACCGGGAGAAAAAGCCCCGGCUAACCCCGG
rnacentral:rRNA from 1 species